GGCCGGGCCCCGCCUCCAUUGAGCCCCAGAAAGCUCGCAGUCGAACCCCGACCCACCGCCACGCCCCCUUUCUGGAAAGGAUCCGCGGCGGCUGCAGCUGCCAAGGUCCCCGAGGGCGCUCGCGGCAGGGGAGGAUCAAGGAAAGACUUGUUUAUUAUAGGGUUGCAUUGCUGGAGGAGGGGACAGCCCGUGACCAGGCUAGGAGGAGAGGCAGGGAAGCGUGAGGGGGCGGCGGGCAAGGAAAAUGGUUGCCCCCAGCGUCUUGGAUCCUAAAGCUUCGGGAACAACUGGGCACACACGGGGGGGAUGCCCGUGGGACGGCGGCGCAGGAGCAGACGUUAGCCCGGCCUGCCCUCGCGCCCUUACCCCCUCUAUCCCUGCUUUGCAAAGGCUCGGGAUAUGGGGGUGGGGUCCACAGACUGGGAAGCUCCGGGCACCAUGCUGCCCCUUCCCCAAGGCCCCACCUGCCCAUCCUGGCUGUUACUCUACAGCCCAGGACAUAGGUUAAUGGGGAUCCCUGCCUCCUCCCAAACCCUAUCUGCUUCCACUUCCAACUGCUCCCAAGGAGAGGGCUUGAGGAGAGUGGUUAGAGGAGUGUGGAUGGGCCCGGGUUCAUAGCGCCCAGUGCAGGGAUGGAAGCGAGGAUUCACAGCAGUCGGACUCACAGACCCAUCCGCCCUCCCCGCGGACUGCAGGCAGCGCAGCCGGACCUCCCUGCCCGGGCGCCCCCCGGGUCCUAGCACCCAGCGCUCGCCUAGCGCUUUGUGUAAAAGAUCCAGACGGUUGCAUCAGGACCGAGGACCGAGAUCUCUGGAAAAGCCAGGGAGUGCAAUGGCCAUCCCGUGUUUCAUCAUUCAGGCGGGGCCACAGGAAAUCUGGCCUGGCAGCAGUGCUCAGAGGCUAACAGUGGUUGCUGAGGGUGGGAGACCCACUUAUGGAGACAAAUUUAUGGAUUAAAAAAAGAAAUCAGGGGAUCCAGGAGACAUCUUAAAGACAGCUGCAGAAUGGAAUAGUUUGUGAGCCACUGGGACUUUCAAGGCCUUCUCUUCCCAUUCUUCAAGCUCUGUCGCUUGUUGGAGCCUUAAAGACACCAGAUUGCUUAACAAUGGGGAUAUAAAAAUUAAAAAUAAUAAAAGACACUGGAUCAAGGCGGCUAGUUGUUCUUGGAGGGCUGGAGUAGAUGACAUACUCUUGAAAUCACUCUUACAGAGGUGACCUGCAUGGGUGUGUCUUCCUGCUGGCCAGAGAGAAGAUCUGAAUUAAUCCAUCAGGAACAUUCACAUUUCCUCCAGGCUGAUUUGGGCGGGACACCUAAACACCCUAAGGAAACAAGAGUUACGAUGUUUUUUCUUCUUCUUCUUCUUUUUUUUUUUUUUUUUGAGAUGGGGUCUCACUCUUUCACCCAGGCUGGAGUGCAGUGGUGCGAUCUUGGCUCACUGCAAGCUCCGCCUCCCGGGUUCACAC
rnacentral:lncRNA from 10 species